rnacentral:rRNA from 1 species
CUAGCUGUAAACGAUGGAUACUAGGCGUUGAGAGUAUCGACCCUCUCAGUGUCGUAGCUAACGCGUUAAGUAUCCCGCCUGGGGAGUACGCGCGCAAGCGUGAAACUCAAAGGAAUUGACGGGGGCCCGCACAAGCGGUGGAGUAUGUGGUUUAAUUCGAUGCAACGCGAAGAACCUUACCAGGGCUUGACCUGUCCGGAACCCUGCCCAAAGGCGGGGGUGCCUACGGGAACCGGAACACAGGUGGUGC